UAGGGAAUCUUCCACAAUGGACGAAAGUCUGAUGGAGCAACGCCGCGUGAGUGAAGAAGGGUUUCGGCUCGUAAAACUCUGUCGUUAAAGAAGAACAUAUCUGAGAGUAACUGUUCAGGUAUUGACGGUAUUUAACCAGAAAGCCACGGCUAACUACGUGCCAC
rnacentral:rRNA from 1 species